rnacentral:ncRNA from 1 species
GUGUAAGGACGACCUUGCACGUCUUUUUUCGGGGACGGCCCC